rnacentral:rRNA from 1 species
UAAGGAAUAUUGGUCAAUGGGCGGAAGCCUGAACCAGCCAUGCCGCGUGCAGGAAGACGGCCCUACGGGUUGUAAACUGCUUUUGCAGGGGAAUAAACCCCCGAUCGUGAUCGGGGCUGAAUGUACUCUGAGAAUAAGGAUCGGCUAACUCCGUGCCAGCAGCCGCGGUAAUACGGAGGAUCCAAGCGUUAUCCGGAUUUAUUGGGUUUAAAGGGUGCGUAGGUGGCCUGUUAAGUCAGGGGUGAAAGACGGUAGCUUAACUAUCGCAGUGCCCUUGAUACUGAUGGGCUUGAAUGGACUAGAGGCAGGCGGAAUGUGACAAGUAGCGGUGAAAUGCAUAGAUAUGUCACAGAACACCGAUUGCGAAGGCAGCUUACUAUGGUUUAAUUGACACUGAGGCACGAAAGCGUGGGGAUCAAACAGGAUUAGAUACC